GAUGAACGCUAGCGGCAGGCUUAACACAUGCAAGUCGAGGGGUAUAGUAGCAAUACUAGAGACCGGCGCACGGGUGCGUAACGCGUAUGCAACCUACCUUUUACAGAGGGAUAGCCCAGAGAAAUUUGGAUUAAUACCUCAUAGUGUUAUUAGAUGGCAUCAUUUGAUAACUAAAGUUCCAACGGUAAAAGAUGGGCAUGCGUCCUAUUAGCUAGAUGGUAAGGUAACGGCUUACCAUGGCUACGAUAGGUAGGGGUCCUGAGAGGGAGAUCCCCCACACUGGUACUGAGACACGGACCAGACUCCUACGGGAGGCAGCAGUGAGGAUAUUGGACAAUGGGCGCGAAGCCCUGAUCCAGCCAUGCCGCGUGCAGGAUGACGGUCCUA
rnacentral:rRNA from 1 species